AGAGUUUGAUCCUGGCUCAGGACGAACGCUGGCGGCGUGCCUAAUACAUGCAAGUCGAGCGGACAGAAGGGAGCUUGCUCCCGGAUGUUAGCGGCGGACGGGUGAGUAACACGUGGGUAACCUGCCUGUAAGACUGGGAUAACUCCGGGAAACCGGAGCUAAUACCGGAUAGUUCCUUGAACCGCAUGGUUCAAGGAUGANAAAGCUCUGUUGUUAGGGAAGAACAAGUGCGAGAGUAACUGCUCGCACCUUGACGGUACCUAACCAGAAAGCCACGGCUAACUACGUGCCAGCAGCCGCGGUAAUACGUAGGUGGCAAGCGUUGUCCGGAAUUAUUGGGCGUAAAGGGCUCGCAGGCGGUUUCUUAAGUCUGAUGUGAAAGCCCCCGGCUCAACCGGGGAGGGUCAUUGGAAACUGGGAAACUUGAGUGCAGAAGAGGAGAGUGGAAUUCCACGUGUAGCGGUGAAAUGCGUAGAGAUGUGGAGGAACACCAGUGGCGAAGGCGACUCUCUGGUCUGUAACUGACGCUGAGGAGCGAAAGCGUGGGGAGCGAACAGGAUUAGAUACCCUGGUAGUCCACGCCGUAAACGAUGAGUGCUAAGUGUUAGGGGGUUUCCGCCCCUUAGUGCUGCAGCUAACGCAUUAAGCACUCCGCCUGGGGAGUACGGUCGCAAGACUGAAACUCAAAGGAAUUGACGGGGGCCCGCACAAGCGGUGGAGCAUGUGGUUUAAUUCGAAGCAACGCGAAGAACCUUACCAGGUCUUGACAUCCUCUGACAACCCUAGAGAUAGGGCUUUCCCUUCGGGGACAGAGUGACAGGUGGUGCAUGGUUGUCGUCAGCUCGUGUCGUGAGAUGUUGGGUUAAGUCCCGCAACGAGCGCAACCCUUGAUCUUAGUUGCCAGCAUUCAGUUGGGCACUCUAAGGUGACUGCCGGUGACAAACCGGAGGAAGGUGGGGAUGACGUCAAAUCAUCAUGCCCCUUAUGACCUGGGCUACACACGUGCUACAAUGGACAGAACAAAGGGCUGCAAGACCGCAAGGUUUAGCCAAUCCCAUAAAUCUGUUCUCAGUUCGGAUCGCAGUCUGCAACUCGACUGCGUGAAGCUGGAAUCGCUAGUAAUCGCGGAUCAGCAUGCCGCGGUGAAUACGUUCCCGGGCCUUGUACACACCGCCCGUCACACCACGAGAGUUUGCAACACCCGAAGUCGGUGAGGUAACCUUUAUGGAGCCAGCCGCCGAAGGUGGGGCAGAUGAUUGGGGUGAAGUCGUAACAAGGUAGCCGUAUCGGAAGGUGCGGCUG
rnacentral:rRNA from 1 species